UUUGACCUCAAAUMAGGUAG
rnacentral:rRNA from 1 species